rnacentral:tRNA from 1 species
AAGUAAGAAACAAAUUAAUUGUAAUCAGUUUCGACCUGAUAUUAAGAUAUAAAUAAUAUCCUUAUUUU